CCAUAGACUAAUUAAACCAUAUGAAGGAUACCAUAAAGACUAAACAAUAAAUGAAAGAUUUUUUAUAAAAAAUUUUCUAGAGACUAGUAUUUAGAACAUCAUCCUAUCAUGGUACGUUUACGGCCACGCAUUCGUACUUCUUCAAAUCUUCGAAGUGUUGCCUUAGAUUGUUUCCAACUUUGGGCAUAAGAGUCUAAAACAUGAUGAAACUUCAAACAGUUAGAAUUUAAGUGCUUUAAGUCUAAUAGUUAACAUACCAAAGAUUCGCUUUCUGGUAAAGUACUUGAUAAAGCUCUCUCUAGGACGUAAAUAUCCACAGCUUUAUCUUCCUCAGAUUCGGAAACGCUUCCUAAACCGAAAUCAAUAAAAAUUGGGACCGGAUUGUUGUGAGACUCCAGCAUCAUAUUACUAGUUGUCAAAUCUCCAUGAACGAUAUCAUUCUUAUGCAUCUUCGCAACUUCUGAUCCUAUUCGCUUCAUUAAAGGAAUAAGUUUUUUUUCAAUCUCACAUUCGCAGAUCUCUCGAAUAUAAUCUCGUACACAAGGUCCAUCAAUCCAUUCCAUAUAUAUUUGACCACGAUUGGCAUCUAUAAAGUACAGCAUGGGACAUUUUAUUCCAACGUAAUGACAUUUUGCUAAAAGUCUUGCUUCCACUAAGCAGCGUUUUCUUGAUAAUUUCUGAUCUAAAAUAGGAUGUCUCCAUCGUUUCGCAGGUCGGCACUUCAAAAGACAAACCUCACCUGGAUAAAACUCGGUUUUUAUCGUGAUUGCUUCUGCACCUUGCUUUACCACAGUUAAUUUCUUUUCCUUUAUUUCACGAUAUAUAUCAGAACAUCUUUGCCUAAGGUCAGGUUUUUCUGACAUUUUAGAGUUAUGUAAAUGAAGAUGGGAUUUGGAAUGAUAAUAUGCGUUAGAGAUCCGAAAAUGUCACAAAUUUAAACUGUCUUUAGAAAAUUAUCGUAAGAACUGUCAAAUACUAAUAAAUAUUUUUUAGACUUAAAUUGAUUAAUUUCUGUUAUUUACCCACGAUUUAAAUGUAAUACAAAAAUUAAUUGAGUUAUCCAAGAAAAAUUACAGCAUAAAGUUGACACUUCAUUUAAUAUCAUAG